ACUGUGGAUGCAAUAUCCCAACAAUGAAAUAAUAUUGGGAUGUUGCAUUUGACUCAACAACUCUAACUCAGUCUCAAAUUCUUUAAUGGAAUUUUGGGUUAGUUUCUUGACAGCUACAUAAAAAUUGUCUUCCAAUUUAGCUUUGUACACACAUCCAAAACCCCCCUCACCUAAAAUCUCAGUUUCUUUAAAUUUGUUGGUGGCUGAUUCAAGUAUGUUGUAGUCCAUUAAAGAAACCAAUGUUUUCCUACUCAUUCCCUUCACAACAUCUGAGGUGUGAAAUCUUUUGUGAAAAAUCCAGAAUAAAAUGAUGAAGAUAAAGAUUAGUCCUAAUGCAGUAGAAGCUACAAUGAGUGCUAUCAACAGCCUUCUAUUUUUAUCCAUAGGGUGGGUG
rnacentral:misc_RNA from 1 species